AAAGGUAUAGUUCAUUGUAGAGUGCGUGCUUAGCAUGCAUGAGGUCCUGGGUUUAAUCUCCAGUACCUCCA
rnacentral:tRNA from 1 species